rnacentral:rRNA from 1 species
UACAGAGGGGGCAAGCGUUGUUCGGAAUUACUGGGCGUAAAGGGCGCGUAGGCGGCCUGCUAAGUCGAACGUGAAAUCCCUGGGCUCAACCCAGGAACUGCGUCCGAUACUGGUUGGCUUGAAUCCGGGAGAGGGAUGCGGAAUUCCAGGUGUAGCGGUGAAAUGCGUAGAUAUCAAGAGGAACACCUGAGGUGAAGACGGGUUGCUGGGCUGACACUGACGCUGAGGCGCGAAAGCUAGGGUAGCAAACGGG